GCUGAACUUAGCAUAUCCAUACG
rnacentral:rRNA from 1 species